CCUACGGGAGGCUGCAGUGGGGAAUAUUGGACAAUGGGGGGAACCCUGAUCCAGCCAUGCCGCGUGUGUGAAGAAGGCCCUCGGGUUGUAAAGCACUUUCAGUGAGGAAGAACGCCUGGUGGUUAAUACCCAUCAGGAAAGACAUCACUCACAGAAGAAGCACCGGCUAACUCCGUGCCAGCAGCCGCGGUAAUACGGAGGGUGCGAGCGUUAAUCGGAAUUACUGGGCGUAAAGCGCGCGUAGGUGGCUUGAUAAGCCGGUUGUGAAAGCCCCGGGCUCAACCUGGGAACGGCAUCCGGAACUGUCAAGCUAGAGUGCAGGAGAGGAAGGUAGAAUUCCCGGUGUAGCGGUGAAAUGCGUAGAGAUCGGGAGGAAUACCAGUGGCGAAGGCGGUCUUCUGGACUGACACUGACACUGAGGUGCGAAAGCGUGGGUAGCAAACAGGAUUAGAUACCCUUGUAGUC
rnacentral:rRNA from 1 species